GUAAGGAAUAUUGGUCAAUGGGGGCAACCCUGAACCAGCCAUGCCGCGUGAAGGAUGAAGGCGUUAUGCGUUGUAAACUUCUUUUGUAUGGGAAGAAUGACAGGGAUUCAUCCUUGGAGAGACGGUACCAUACGAAUAAGCACCGGCUAACUCCGUGCCAGCAGCCGCGGUAAUACGGAGGGUGCAAGCGUUAUCCGGAAUCACUGGGUUUAAAGGGUACGUAGGCGGUUAAUUAAGUCAGUAGUGAAAGACUGUCGCUCAACGACGGAUGUGCUAUUGAUACUGGUUAACUUGAAUCAGGUUAGAGUUGGCGGAAUGGGUCAUGUAGCGGUGAAAUGCUUAGAUAUGAUGUAGAACACCGAUUGCGAAGGCAGCUCACUAAGCAAAUAUUGACGCUGAGGCACGAAAGCGUGGGGAUCAAACAGGAUUAGAUACCCCGGUAGUCC
rnacentral:rRNA from 1 species